GAAGGGAAUCGGCAAAAAGUUUGUUUUUUUUCUGUUAUUUUGCUCUUUCCGGGUUUGGUUUAGGAUUUUUAGGUUAUUUAUUUAUUUAAUUUCUGUUGAAAGGAAAAAGAAGCAUCGCUUAAAAUGAUUCAAGAUUUGACUAAACACCCAACCUUCAAUCAAUCAAGAAUGCAGAAGAUUCAGCUUGCACAAUUUGCAUAAAAUAGAAGCAGACGAAGUCGGAAUAAGCAUCUGCACUAUUCGACGGAAGACAUCAUACCAGGGUCUGUAGGUACGAUUGAUGUGAGGAGUUUCGGUGGUACUCUGAAUUUCGAAUAGGUUGGCUAGGCUGAGGAAUAGUGAAAAGCACUGUUUGAUGAUGCUGUGAGUAAUUUGUGUUGUUAAUCGAAGCUAAUUAAUGAUUAUUGUAAUUUAUUAAAGUUUAUUUUAUUUAACAAUUUGUGCUAAUUUAUUUGUUUGUUUUGUUGCAAGGAUCAAUUAGUUGCUAUUGCUCAGGCAGCAGAGAAGAAUAAGAAUCAAUUAGCUGUUUAUUUUAUUUUGUUAGUUUUUGAAAAUUUUGAAGGUAUUUUUUUAAAAAGGUGUAUAUGUUAAUAUGUUUUGUUGGAGUUUUGUUGGAAUUUGAACGAUGUUGUAGAUAUUAUUACUUGAGGUUAUCAAUGAAAAGCUGGGAAACAUGUUGAAUAUGAAGUUAUUGUCAAGGAUAAUGAAUUGGUUGCAACUGAAUACAUUGAUGAUACAUACAAGUUUUUCAAACUUAGUGUUUCAAACUUAGUGAAGUGAUGCACUGUUCUAUCUCUUUUUGUUCUGUGUUUUUUCUCUUACACAAAUUGUGUGUUGAUUUCAGUUCAAAUUGUUUUGAGCUUCAACACUGAUUAUCAUCUCUAACUGCAGAGAAGAAUUAAACAUAAAUUUACGUGAAGCGGAUUCAUAAUAAAAUAAUUGUGUGGUAGAUUUUCUCGAUUUUGUCCUGAUGACGACAUAGAAGUUGGGAAACUCAUACGAAGCAACAAUACUUUCUCUGCAGUUCAUCACUUCAAGUAAGUUAAUCCAUUUUAAUAAUAUU